CUAACUAAGCAUCUCACUUACACCGAGAAGACACCCAUGAAAGUUGGGUCACCCUGAGCCAAACAGCUAGCUUAACCACUUUCUUAACUUUUAACUAUAAAUAAAAUAAAAUAAACUUAUUUUAUAAACUAAAACAUUCUACCACCUUAGUAUGGGAGACAAAAAAGGUUCAUCACAAAGCAAUAGAUAUAGUACCGUAAGGGAAAGCUGAAAGAGAAAUGAAAUAAACCAUAUAAGCACUAAAAAGCAAAGACUAAACCUUGUACCUUUUGCAUCAUGAUUUAGCCAGUAUACUCAAGCAAAGAGAACUUUAGUUUGAAACCCCGAAACCAGGUGAGCUACCCCGAGACAGCCUAUUAGGGCCAACCCGUCUCUGUGGCAAAAGAGUGGGAAGAACUCCGGGUAGAAGUGACAGACCUACCGAACCUGGUGAUAGCUGGUUGCCUAAGAAAUGAAUAGAAGUUCAGCCUCAUAAACCUUUAGCCAAACAUUAAUAUAAUAAGACCAUAAAGUUACCUAUGAGAGUUAGUUAAAGGGGGUACAGCCCCUUUAACCAAGGACACAACCUUUAAAGGAGGAUAAAGAUCAUAAUAAUUAAAACACAUGUUCUAGUGGGCCUAAAAGCAGCCACCUAAACAGAAAGCGU
rnacentral:rRNA from 1 species